GUGGGGAAUAUUGGGCAAUGGGCGAAAGCCUGACCCAGCAACGCCGCGUGAAGGAAGAAGGUUUUCGGAUUGUAAACUUCUGUCCUCAGGGAAGAAGGACGUGACGGUACCUGAGGAGGAAGCCCCGGCUAACUACGUGCCAGCAGCCGCGGUAAUACGUAGGGGGCGAGCGUUGUCCGGAAUGACUGGGCGUAAAGGGCGCGUAGACGGCUGUCUAAGUCUGGAGUGAAAGUCCUGUUUUCAAGGCGGGAAUUGCUUUGGAGACUGGAUGGCUUGAGUGCGGAAGAGGUAAGUGGAAUUCCCAGUGUAGCGGUGAAAUGCGUAGAGAUUGGGAGGAACACCAGUGGCGAAGGCGACUUACUGGGCCGUAACUGACGUUGAAGCGCGAAAGCGUGGGGAGCGAACAGGAUUAGAUACCCCUGUAGUCC
rnacentral:rRNA from 1 species